rnacentral:tRNA from 1 species
GCCUCAGUAGCUCAAUGGUAGAGCAGUGGCCUCUUAAGCCAUUGGUUCAAGGUUCGAGUCCUUGCUGGGGUAC